rnacentral:rRNA from 1 species
ACUCCUACGGGAGGCAGCAGUAGGGAAUCUUCCACAAUGGACGAAAGUACUGAUGGAGCAACGCCGCGUGAGUGAAGAAGGGUUUCGGCUCGUAAAACUCUGUUGUUAAAGAAAGAACAUAUCUGAGAGUAACUGUUCAGGUAUUGACGGUAUUUAACCAGAAAGCCACGGCUAACUACGUGCCAGCAGCCGCGGUAAUACGUAGGUGGCAAGCGUUGUCCGGAUUUAUUGGGCGUAAAGCGAGCGCAGGCGGUUUUUAAGUCUGAUGUGAAAGCCUUCGGCUCAACCGAAGAAGUGCAUCGGAAACUGGGAAACUUGAGUGCAGAAGAGGACAGUGGAACUCCAUGUGUAGCGGUGAAAUGCGUAGAUAUAUGGAAGAACACCAGUGGCGAAGGCGGCUGUCUGGUCUGUAACUGACGCUGAGGCUCGAAAGUAUGGGGUAGCAAACAGGAUUAGAUACCCUGGUAGGAUAGCG